rnacentral:rRNA from 1 species
UACGGGGGGGGCAAGCGUUGUUCGGAAUUACUGGGCGUAAAGGGCUCGUAGGCGGCCAACUAAGUCGGACGUGAAAUCCCUCGGCUUAACCGGGGAACUGCGUCCGAUACUGGAUGGCUUGAGUUCGGGAGAGGGAUGCGGAAUUCCAGGUGUAGCGGUGAAAUGCGUAGAUAUCUGGAGGAAUACCGGUGGCGAAGGCGGCAUCCUGGACUAACACUGACGCUGAGGCGCGAAAGCUAGGGGAGCAAACGGG